GGCUGAUGAUGAUAGGAUUGAACUGCUGCUCUCUCAAGUUGAGGGCAAGGAUAUCACUGAGCUGAUUGCUGCUGGCAGAGAAAAAUUGGCUUCAGUACCUGCCGGUGGUGGUGGUGUUGCAGUUGCUGCACCUACAAGCGGUGCUGCUGCUGCACCUGCUGCCGAAGAGAAGAAGGAAGAAAAGAAAGUGGAAGAGAAAGAGGAGUCAGACGAUGUAUGAAUACUCUCCUGAUUUUAAGAAUUUGUUGUUUUUCUAUUGGUCGGUGUUUCAAUUCCUCUCAUCUGCUUUUGUGUUCUCCUGGAAUUUCUUUUACAGGACAUGGGCUUCAGUCUCUUCGAUUAGAAGAAUCCAAAGCAUUCAGUGA
rnacentral:lncRNA from 1 species